GAUUUUUACACACACUCGAAUGUGAUGAAAUUAUUGUCGUGCGCAAGCACUUAUGUACAACUUUCAACAACGGAUCUCUUGGCUCUCGCAUCGAUGAAGAACGCAGCGAAAUGCGAUAAGUAAUGUGAAUUGCAGAAUUCAGUGAAUCAUCGAAUCUUUGAACGCACCUUGCACCCUUUGGCAUUCCGAAGGGUAUGCUCGUUUGAGUGUCAUUGUACUCUCACACUUCUGAUCCUUUGGAUUUGGAGCGGUGGACUUGGGUGUUGCCACUUGACGGUGGCUCACCUCUAAUGCAUUAGUGCAACUCCUGGUUGGACCAUAGUACGGCGUGAUAAGUGUCUUCGCCGGCACCUCGUGAGAGGGUGGCCGAUCGAGAGCUCUGUGCUUUCAAACCGUCCUUGCAAGGACAAUGACUGACAACUUGACCUCAAAUCGAGUAGGACUACCCGCUGAACUUAAGCAUAUCAAUAAGA
rnacentral:rRNA from 1 species